CUAUGUUAUACCUGUAAAUGUCACCAGGUCACAGUGACUGUACUGUUAGCUAACUAAAGCUAGAUAACCUAUUUAGAUACUUUACAGUGUGCUGUUGGAAUACAUAUUUGAAUACAUUAACGUUAGCUAGCUAGCUAACGUAGCGUUAGCGUUAACUAAUAAUUCCCCACGAACCACACACACACAUACUUAUUCACACCUCAAAUGACCUCACUUAUUAACAAAUAAACCGCAAAUGAACAGAAAUUGGUUCGUUUCGAAUAAAAAUAUAUAAUAACGAGAGUUAUUCGCUAGCUGGUCGUCGACUUUUAGCUAAUUUAAAUAUUUUUUCCGUUAGUAUUCAAAAUCCCUGCUGCCGAUGCUGCUGCUUCGUCCAAAAUACAUCGCCGGGUCUGCGCAUGCGCAAGUGUCGGGACGCUUUCCUCCUCCUCCCCCCUCCCUUCUUCUCUCUGUCUCUCUCUCUCUCUCUCUCUCUCUCUUCAGCUUCUCCUGCAAUGUGUGUAAAGGAGGGAAGCGGCGGAGAGGAAAACACGGCGUUAAAAUGCGCGGAGAAAGUGCGCCGCGGUCGAUGAGCGGAUAACGGCCGCGCUCCUCCUCGGUUCCGGGGGGCUCCUGUCGAAGCAUGUCAGGGACAGGGGCGCAGGGGGAGGCGGAGGGGGUCUCUAAAGUUCAGGUGAAACGGCAGAUCAAGACCAUCGUGAAGGAUCUGGAAUGCAUCUUGGGCGACUUGAAGGAUGUGGCCAAAGAACUCAAAGAGGUUGUCCACGAGAUUGACUCCCUGACGUCAGACCUACAGCUGGAGGAGGAGAUGGCUGACAGCUCAAAGACAGACACGCUGAACAGCAGCUCCAGCAGUACCACCACCACCACCACAGCCUCCAGCAUAGAGAAAAUCAAGAUCUAUCCCGAAGACACCUUACUGCGACCCCCAUGCGUUAACCCCGGUGUGCUCACGGUCCUGAAGAGGCCGCACCCUCCUCUUCCGCCUCCGCGCCUCACGCCACUUCGGGCCGAGGACCAUGGCAAGAGCCUGUCCUCAGGGAACCUAGCCAGGGCUAACGGGGCACUCAUGCGGAAUGGCGUCUUCCCCACCAAGCCGAUAAACAUACCCAGCAGAGACUUGGCUUGCGGGCCUAAAAGUGUGACGGAGAAGGGGCUGAUGCCGAUGCCCCUUCUUAGGCACAAGAAAAGCCGCUGUCCCCAGGUGACACGGGAGCGCGUGCGAUUUAGCGAAACGGUCCAGUACCACGGCUACUGCCCGGACUGCGACCUGCAGUACGACAUGAACAACACGGAUAUGCACUUACACACGGAAUUGAUCGACAUCAAGCUUAGCCCUGUCCAUCAAUGCUCCUCCUUGGCGCCGUCCCACGUUCUGAUGGAAAAUGGCGGCCUGAGCCUCAGUCAUAGCUUUCCCCCUUCGACUCCACCUUUUGUGCCUCAUCACCCGACUCAGAAACCACAGAAAACCAUUCUACGCAAGUCCACCACGACAACGGUUUGAUAUAUAGAAUCACCCCAAAAGUGACAUUUUGUAAUCUUUCUAUUUUUUAAUUAUUUGAUGUCAUGAGCACUUUCAACUGCAGCGAAAACGGAUUACCUGAAGAUUGAUAAAAGAAGAUAAGGAUGACGAGAGAGGAUGAAAGCAACGUCUGGCUUCCUUCAACGGAACUCCAAAAAGAGUAAGUGAAUGGUCCCUUUAUACGGCGGAAGAGACACCAUUCGCAGACAACCUACUGAUCACCUCAAUUUCAUCAUGUGAUGCUCAGCGAGGCCUCAGCGCAUCUGACAGAGAGUCCUCAGAACCACUACCGAAUAAUUCACAGCCAGUGGCCCCAAAGGCGCUGUCUGAGGCGUGGGGAAAAUAAUAUGACAAAAUUAUGAAUCUUGAAUCAUCUACAAUCAGAGGCUGUAUUUAAUCAUAAUGUACAAAGGCCGAAAAAUGUUAUUUUUUCUCUUUAUGUGCUUAAAAUUCUACUAGAAGUCAAUGAGUUUUGCAAAGAGUUGCAAAGACAAAAAUCGUUUUUUAAAAGGACAGAAAGAGAGGCAGCUUUUCCACUACAGGGCCAAAUGAUUACAGAGACCAAGCCAUCUUCUUAGAUACAUGUGUCCGGUCUCACAUUUAUGAUGUGAUUUCACAGAGUUAGCAAAUUAGCAUGCUAACUAAAUGGAACAUGGAGAAUUGUGAGCUUUCACAGCAGAUACAAGCCACUCCCCACUUCUCCACAGCAGUUUUAAUACACUGACUACCAGCUUUACCCAACAUCGCUACCACAGCAUUAGCGCUCUCACUACCGGCCUCUUCCUACAUUGCUAAUGUCCUUGUAAAACAUUGCUAGUGCAGCAUUAGCAUGCCUACAACCACUUUAUUGCAGUGUUAGCAUGCCGGCUACCAACCUACCGUGAGGUUAGCAAGCCCCUGCUAGCUAAUCAGUCAUUAAGCCCAAACGUCAUUAAGCCCCUCCACUGAACAGUUCUCUUGCCCCAAGUACAGUUAGCUAAGUGUGCUGAGAAAACUCAGAACAGUUUGACCCUGUAAUGGAAAAGUGGCCAAAUAGAACCAAGCCUCUGACUAUCCUUCAGAUAAUUAUAUUUUUUCACUCGAUGUCUGUGUCCGUGAUACCAUUCUGAUUCUUUUCUGUAGCAGAAAUGAAUAUUCAAGAUCGACCCUAAACACGAACAUCAUUUGGCGUAGCUUACGUCAGUUGUAUUUGAAAAAGAGUGACAGGCCUGUGUUAUUGCUGCCAAAAAGGUCGAACAUGUUUGAAGGAUCCCCUUUAACAUGACGCCUACACAGUCGGAUCUAGCUGUUGGAUGUCAUUAGUGUCAAUAACCAAGUCAAGAAUAGCGAGUUCCUUCAGUUCCUCAGAUAUUAGCUUUGUACACCGUGGUUCACCUCAGAAAGAUGAUAAUGGAUGAGACAGACAAUGGGAAUUUAAGCAUCCAACACAGUAUAUGUUUUAUAAAGAGGAUUUUGAGAUAUAUAAAUAUAUAUAAUUAUAUAUAAAAGAGCAUAUUUUUGAUAUUUCUUGAGAUGAUUUUAAUAACGAUUGCUUUCCUUUUUCGCUGGACUGUAAUCUCUGCAGGGCAUAUAUUUACAUAAUUUAUUUAUGUACCAUUCAAAGAUAUAGAAGAUGUCUGGAGAUUUUCUUACAUUACAGAGGUGUGGUUAAUGUGUGGUUGUGUUUUAUUAAAAAAAAACAAAUCUGUUCUUUUAAUGUACAUUCCCAAUACAAAAACACUGGAACAUUAGGAAGGCCUGCCAUGCAUUAUGGGAACAUGCACUUGCUGUCCACUUAAUUGGAAAAGAACACCUAUCUUGUUUUUACUUGCUGUCCACCAUUUAUGAACUCCACCUACCUUAUUGAUUGAUUAUAUAGGUGCACAAUUACAGACUGGGUUCAGUGCUGGGCUUAGAGAUGGAUCACCCUGCAGGAUUUAGCUCUGUCCCUAAACAUACACAUCUGACUCAGGUUAUGAAGGAAUUGUGGCCGGAGUGGUCCAGUGCAGUAAAGUGCUGUUAAUAUGAUUCAAGAUCGCUGGUUCGAAGCUUGGAUUAUGGAUUAUGCUGCUUGCCAUCAGCAGCCAGAGUCUGAGAGAGCAAAAUUGGCCAUGCUCUAUGUAUGUGGGUAGUGAUGACAAUUAUUGGCACUUACAGUGUGAUGUGUUACCUGGGAAUCUGGCACUUUCCUCCGAAUGCAUUAGCUGCCUGAUAAUACUAAAGCAACAUUUCAGAUAGAAGCAGAGGCUGUGGCUGGCUUCACGUGUAUCAUUUUUUUUUUUUUUUUGUGCAAGCAUUGCUAGUGAUCAAAUGAGUUCAUUUGAACAGGGAAUUCAUAAUUGACCUUUAAAAAACACUGGGUAGCAAAUGAGUCUAAAACUUGUUAAAAGAGUAUUUUAUUUAUGUAUUUAUUUGAUGUAUGUAGCACAUUUUCAGAAUCCAAGGCCAGUUAAACAAAUUUCUUUUCCAGUAUUUCAAGAAGAUUAAAAGUAUUUAGUGAAGGGGGAAGGUCCAGUUCACAUUUGAAAUCAGGCACUGAAGAGCAUUCACAAAGAGAUUGGAGAAGUGCAUUUCAGAGUGCAACACACUAAAUGACCUGCCACCCACUGAGGAGAGCCUGGUAUGAGGUACAGUGAGCAGAUUGCUGUCAGAGGAUCUGAGAGUGUGAGAGGAUGUAGAAAGAUGUAAAGAUGGUGGAAUUCUUAAAGAUAAGGAGCAAGACCAUGAAGGACUUUGAAUAUGAGAAAGAGAAUUCUGGAUUUGAUGAGAGAAGAGACAGGCAGCAAGUGGAACUGGGUGGUAGAUCUCCAGGACUAGGAUUGAGCAACCCUGCUCUAGAGCAUUUCUGUAGAGCAGUUUUACUCAGCAGCCCUCUGCUCCAGGGGUGUCCGAUAUUGCCCACCAAGGACUAGCGAGGUGGCAGGUUGUCAAUCAAUCCAUAUUGUCAUCAGUUGUUUGAAGACUGACAUAUUGAUUACACAAGAGGAAUCGGGUGUGCUGUUGUUUGAAGAAUGGUUUAGAAUGAAAACUGCAGCCACAACACCCCUUGGCGGAUAAGUGUGGACACCCCUGCGCUCUAGUCCAUUUAUUUUGGUCAGUUUCUGGUGGGCUAUUCCCAGAACAGCAGGGACACUGACAAGGUAAAACCUGAGUGUAUCAAGCACAGCGGGGCUGCAGGGGCUUUUAACAGGUCAGUUUCUCUGGUGUGGAUGAGGGUGGUCCACCAUUCAAAAUCCAGCCAAGAGCAGCUCUGUAGAGAGCAGUGUAGCAUACUAUGGCAUGCUAGAAGUCAUGACAGUGGUUGCCAGAUAAAUAGGACAUUCUGUUUUUGAGGUUUUGUGGGCUUUUAACAUUUUUCACUCUAAAGAAUCGCAUGUGAAUUGGUUUAACAUAGCCAACAAUACAGAAGGCAUUACCACCCACAGUGGACAUUGCAGUGGGUUGCAUUGACCAUUUAGAAUUGUCCAUGCAAACAUACAAGCAGCUCUAGCUUUUGAUAUGUCAUUGUAUAUAAGCUAUAGUCUAUGACUGUGCACCAGCUAGGUGGAUAUAUAAGGUAGUUGUUUCCAAUAAAGUGGCUCGCAAGUGUAUAAAUGUGCUAUUUUAUAAAGUACAUGUACCCCCUAAGACAUGAAUAGCUUGAUACCACUGUUCUGUUUCCAGAAAUGUUAUUUAUUUUGUUGCAGAUUGUGUGCAAUAGUGGCAAACCAUUUACCCCAGUUACAAAUACUUGGUAUCUCUUUUGGGAACAUAACUGAAAAGAUCAAGUAGGUAAAAACAUGAUGAUCACACUGUGUUUUCUCAAGUGUUCUCUGGAGCUGGUGACGGUAUUGGUUGGCAGUCAUCCUCUUGGCAUUUUUCCUUUACAUCUGUAUUCAUUCUCUUCUGAGCCAAAUGCCAGGUGUAAAGACGAACACGAUCAGCUGAAAUUAGACAACCAUAAAAAUGUGCGGAACCAUUUGUGGGUUUUUAAGACGUCGUUAAUCUUUGCACUUUGCACUGUAAAUGGAAGUCUUUAUACAGUGGGAGAUGAGUCCACUUUAAUAUGUGAAAUACAGAAUGAUUUCAAAGAAAUAUGGCUUGGUCUUUUUAUGUGUGUUUGUGUGGCUGUACAGUACGUGUUUAACCCUUUUAAGACCUUUUUAUAACACAGUAAAUCCAGCAUAAUGCCAUACAGUAAAUGUAUUAUAAUAGCAAAAUUAUG